CAGGUAGGGAUACCCGC
rnacentral:rRNA from 1 species